UCACACAGGUGCCUCUGCCCCCCCGGAUGGCAGAAUAAAACGCUCUUUCUCUGGAUUAACCCCUUGGUGUCGUUUAGCUCCUUUUGUCUCUGCUCAGGUGCAACAAUUAUUCCGACCCAUGGAUUAAUAAGGCUACAUAUUUCUGGUGCGUUGGCCGGGAAAAGCACGUUCCCCGAGAUCGAGGGACAAAGAGGUCCAGGGCGUCACUGCAAGGCGAGCAGCUCGGGAUACCGGGUCAACAGUUCCAGCGCGCAUCCUGCCAACUUCGUGGGAGGAACUGGCCACCCGUUCCUGAGUGGACACGCGACAAAGUGACGGAGAGAAAGAGCAACGGCCGUGCAGAAAGAAGGUACCUUGAGGAAAAAGGUGGAUUUUUGCCAGCAUACCUCUGCAUCCCUAUGAACCAGGUGAAGAGGACCCAGAUGCCCAGACAUCGCUCCAGCCUUGUUGGAAGGGACCCAAGAUGCCCAACGCCCACCAGAUGACCCGACGCCCACCAGACUACAGCCCUGCUAAACGUCACUCCUGGACGCUGGCGUUUUGCACGGCUCAAGAAUCCAGCAUGGAUUGAAAGGGGACAUUUUCUUUCCUUUCCUUUUGCAUAACUGAACUUUAUUGAAGGUACCUGGACCUGGUUUGCUUUACGCCACCCCUGCAGAGGAGGGUGUCUAGUGGGUCUUUUCUUUCAGCGUGAUUACACCCCAGCCCACUCUCUAGCACUUACCUAAGCCCCUCCCCGUGCAUACAAUGGCUAAAAUACGACUGUGGGUCCCCGUGCUGGUAUUUCUGCUGCCUUUGACCUUUGAAAUGCCAAUACCACUCACAGUGACCAGGCAACUGCUGCAAUCGUGGGGGGCCCACCACACAUAUAAUAAAUGGAUUCAGGUUGCUGAGAUGGUUGCGUUCUCUGCAAAUCGGACCAAUUGUGCCGUCUGCACUCUGGCCCCUGUAGAUGCUCUCGGAGGAAUGCCACUCCUCCCUGUGCCUUGGAAUGAAUCCUUGGUUACAACUCCACUUGUUGCCUUCCAGUCUCUGGGCAACCAUUCUUCUUUAUGGAAUCAUUCUGUCCCUUUCCAGGUUCACAGGAUCACUGGCUGCCUUUGUGUCAACAAAUCAAAUGACGCCAGUGACGCUCAGACCUAUGUGGGCACUUCCCACUGUGAUUGUACCUUCCCAGCCCCAACUAACAUGCCUGAGUCCGAGACAGGAACCUUUUCUGGUUCCAAUUUGACUGCAUGCCUGGCCCGCUUGCUGAGAGGCACCAUAUCUGCCCAUGGUCAGGACGUUUACUGGGUGUGUGGCAGGAAGGCCUAUCAUGCCCUCCCAAGAGGAUGGUAUGGGGUCUGUUUUCCAGUCUACUUAAUACCCCCAUGUGGAUUCCUGACCAGAUACCCUCUGCACCCCCUAGAAGGAGGCGUUCGGCUGACCUGGCAACACUUGCAGGUGGCAGCUCCCAGAAUUGGGGCAAAAA